AGAGUUUGAUUAUGGCUCAGAGCGAACGUUAGCGGCAGGCUUAACACAUGCAAGUCGAGCGAGAAAGGGGGGCAACCCCUGAGUAAAGCGGCGGACGGGUGCGUAACACGUGGAUAAUCUGCCUUGGAGUGGGGAACAACAAUCCGAAAGGAUUGCUAAUGCCGCAUGUGGAGACGAGGACCCCGGUCCUUGUCCCAAAAGAGGGCGCCCGCAAGGGGCUCUCGCUCUAAGAUGAGUCCGCGUCCCAUCAGCUAGUUGGCGGGGUAACGGCCCACCAAGGCGAUGACGGGUAGCUGGUCUGAGAGGAUGACCAGCCACACUGGGACUGAGACACGGCCCAGACUCCUACGGGAGGCAGCAGUGGGGAAUAUUGGGCAAUGGGCGCAAGCCUGACCCAGCCAUGCCGCGUGAGUGAUGAAGGCCUUCGGGUCGUAAAGCUCUGUGGGAAGGGACGAAAAAAACAGACCUAAUACGUCUGGGCUUGACGGUACCUUCUUAGCAAGCACCGGCUAACUCCGUGCCAGCAGCCGCGGUAAUACGGAGGGUGCAAACGUUGCUCGGAAUCAUUGGGCGUAAAGCGCACGUAGGCGGUCGGCUAUGUCGGAUGUGAAAGCCUCGGGCUUAACCCGAGAAGGGCAUCCGAAACUGGCUGGCUUGAGUAUGGAAGAGGGUCUCGGAAUUCCCGGUGUAGAGGUGAAAUUCGUAGNUAUCNGGA
rnacentral:rRNA from 1 species